rnacentral:tRNA from 1 species
AAUAUUGAAGCGAACAAGUCGCACUGAGUUUCGACCUCAGCUUUGAUUAGCCCAUUUUCCAAUAUUA